rfam:Plasmodium falciparum MaliPS096_E11 unplaced genomic scaffold supercont1.141, whole genome shotgun sequence.
UAAAAUGAUGAUAUUAUAUAUGGGCGCACAUUUAAAUUUCAUACUACUAAAUGUAGAAUGAUGAAAAUUAUAGGAUGUCAUCCUUGAUCUGAUUAUUUUUUA